rnacentral:rRNA from 1 species
AUUGAACGCUGGCGGAAUGCUUUACACAUGCAAGUCGAACGGCAGCACGGACUUCGGUCUGGUGGCGAGUGGCGAACGGGUGAGUAACAUAUCGGAACGUAUCCAAUAAUGGGGGAUAACUAAGCGAAAGCUUGGCUAAUACCGCAUACGCCCUAAGGGGGAAAGCAGGGGAUCUUCGGACCUUGCGUUAAUGGAGCGGC